AUCCGCCAACUUAGGACAGCUGUUUAGUGAUCGCAGAGGUGCGACACCCGUUUUCAGAGCCAUUUACAUCAUUUAGUAGUUAAACAUUUCCUGUAGCAGCUUAGGACAGUACAGUUUGUGAGUUAACAGAUCAGGGUGAGCCUCAGUGUUUCCUGGUGUACUGUACUCAUCCGCCAACUUAGGACAGCUGUUUAGUGAUCGCAGAGGUGCGACACCCGUUUCAGAGCCAUUUACAUCAUUUAGUGAGGAUUCCUGUGUCUGACAGUACUGAACCUGAGGAAUUCACACAUUUUUGAGCAGAGACCAGGUGUGCAGUAUCAACACCUUUUUAGUUACAUUUUGACAUGAAUUGUUGGAGAGAACUUGAAUACCAUGGCCAUGAGAUAUGACUUUAGCUAUAGAAUGCAAAAAUAUGCAGUAUUGUUGCAUUUGUGAUGAAAAGAAAGACAAUUUUCCCAUUUUUUACUGAAAAAUAAGCUUUUUUUUAACCAAAAAAAUUCA